rnacentral:tRNA from 1 species
AUAUAUAAUUAAUUAUAUACA